GUGUCAGAAGAUUCCACCAGAGAGCAAGUUGGUUUACAAGUGAUCGCUAGACAUUUGGCCAAAAUUGAGAAGCGUUUGGAUGUUAUUCAGCAAUCUGUAUCAGAAUUAUUAAAGCAGACUUUACCAGACACUGUACAGAACAUAAAUAUUUUACCAGAAGAGUUGACUCUUCCAUGCGAGACUGAAGAACAACUCAACAAAGUGGAAGAAUGGAUAUCAAUCCCAGAAAAUAAGAUAUGUAUGGAAACCACACUUGCUACAGUUGGAGGGAGAAAAGCUGAUCAUGUUGUGCGCCAUAUACUAGAGAGACUAUUCACAAAUAGAUUGGCAUUGAAAUACAAUUGGACAGGAAAAAAUCAGAAGAUAGCAUUAAAAAAUCUGCAGCUGAUGAAGAUUAUACCUGCUGCUGUUAGAAGAAAUAAAUCCACUAGCAACAUCUGUGAUGAUGAUGUGAAUACCAUUUUACGGAACUGGUUCCGUUUCGCAAAGGACAGGGAUGGAGGUCGAGACAGCAGAAGACAGUCGGCUAAAUAGAAAAAGACAUCAGAAAAAUGUCUACUGUGGAAGUUCAAAGAGAACUAAUUUGCGAAAAGUGGCAGUUCGUUCAAAAGAAAUUUGUCAAGAAUUAUGUAAUGAAAUUCAGCACAAUUAUGUAAAUGUUACUGUAAACACACACACUAACAAUCAUGGUGCUGAUUCAAACAAUGCAGGUAUUUCUACAAAUAAUAAUGAUUACAUAUGCAGCAGUAUUAGUAGUAUAAGUAGUACUGAUGAUGAUUCUUCAGUUGAAGAAAUUGAAAAUUCUGAACUUAGUGCUAACAUUGUUCCUGUUGAACAAAAAUUAGUUGAUUGGAUGUACAGUUAUAACAUACCACAUAAUGCAGCAACAGCUUUGUUGCACAUUUUAA